CGGAAGCAGCAGACAAAUACAGCCGGGUACAGUUUGAAUAUACGCCUUUUGGCGAUCUGAAGAAACGCAGGCAGGGGAAUGAAGAAAUGCGGUUCCUGUAUGAUACCGAAGGACAGCUACGCACGA
rnacentral:misc_RNA from 1 species